GUACUCUCACACUUCCGAUCUUUGGGUUGGGAGUGGUGGACUUGGGUGUUGCUGCUUAACUGCGGCUUACCUCAAAUGGAUUUGUGCAACUCUUGGUUGGACAUAGUAUGGUGUGAUAAGUGUCUUCGCCGGCACCUCGUAAUUGAGGGUGGCCAAUCGGGAGCUCUGUGCUUCAAACCAUUCUUCGGACAAUGACUGACA
rnacentral:misc_RNA from 1 species